UUUAGCUCAGUGGUAGAGCGUUUGCCUUGCAAGUACAAAGCCCUGGGUUCAAUCCCCAGCUUAAAAA